rnacentral:rRNA from 1 species
UUAAAGGCAUUGACGGAAGGGCACUACAAGGAAUGGAGCCUGCGGCUUAAUUCGACUCAACACGUGAAACCUGACCCGGUCCGGACACAGGAAGGAUUGACAGAUUGAGAGCUCUUUCUUGAUUCUGUGGCAGGUGGUGCAUGGCCGUUACUAAUUGGUGGAUCGAUUUGUCAGGUUUAUUCCGAUAACGAGUGAGACUCUAGCCUGCUAAAUAGACGUUUCGAUCGUUCGAGUCGGACGUUCUUCUUAGAGGGACGAGCGGCGUCUAGCCGCACGAAACAGAGCAAGAACAGGUCAGUAAUGCCCUUAGAUGUCCGGGGCCGCACGCGCGCUACAUUGAAGGAAUCAGCGUGUGCUUUCCCUGUCCGACAGGACUGGGUAACCCGUUGAAACUCCUUCGUGCUGGGGAUAGGAGUCUGCAAUUGUCUCCUUGAACGAGGAAUUCCUAGUAAGCGCGAGUCAUUAGCUCGCGCUGAUUACGUCCCUGCCCCUUGUUCACACCGCCCGUCGCUGCUAGCGAUUGAAUGUUUUAGUGAGGUCUUCGGUGUGGCGCUCGGAUUGUGGCUUCCGGGUCGAGCCGGCGCGCCGGAAAGAUGAUCGCAACUUGGUCAUUUAGAGGUAGCAAAAGUCGUAACAAGGUUUCC